rnacentral:miRNA from 1 species
UGUGUAUGUGUGUGUGUGUGUGUGUGUGUAUCUGACACACAGAUACACACACACACACACACACACACACACU